rnacentral:rRNA from 1 species
CUCGUAGGUGGCCAACUAAGUCAGACGUGAAAUCCCCAGGCUCAACUUGGGAACUGCGUCUGAUACUGGAUGGCUUGAAUUCGGGAGAGGGAUGCAGAAUUCCAGGUGUAGCGGUGAAAUGCGUAGAUAUCUGGAGGAAUACCGGUGGCGAAGGCGGCAUCCUGGACCGAGAUUGACACUGAUGAGCGAAAGCUAAGGGGAGCAAACG